UCGCUCCUACCGAUUGAGUGCUCCUGUGAAUAAUUCGGACUGUGGCAGGUUCCAGUUUCUGGCGCAUGCCUUGGGAAGAUUUGUGAAUUGCAACACUUAGAGGAAGGAG
rnacentral:rRNA from 1 species